AGUGAACGCUGGCGGUAGGCCUAACACAUGCAAGUCGAACGGCAGCACAGUAAGAGCUUGCUCUUACGGGUGGCGAGUGGCGGACGGGUGAGGAAUACAUCGGAAUCUACUUUUUCGUGGGGGAUAACGUAGGGAAACUUACGCUAAUACCGCAUACGACCUACGGGUGAAAGCAGGGGAUCUUCGGACCUUGCGCGAUUGAAUGAGCCGAUGUCGGAUUAGCUAGUUGGCGGGGUAAAGGCCCAGCAAGGCGACGAUCCGUAGCUGGUCUGAGAGGAUGAUCAGCCACACUGGAACUGAGACACGGUCCAGACUCCUACGAGAGGCAGCAGUGGGGAAUAUUGGACAAUGGGCGCAAGCCUGAUCCAGCCAUACCGCGUGGGUGAAGAAGGCCUUCGGGUUGUAAAGCCCUUUUGUUGGGAAAGAAAAGCAGCAGGUUAAUACCCCGCUGUUCUGACGGUACCCAAAGAAUAAGCACCGGCUAACUUCGUG
rnacentral:rRNA from 1 species